rnacentral:rRNA from 1 species
CAUCGUCAGCUCAUUUUGUAUAUGUAUGANGUUAUGAUGCGAGUUACUCUNUGUAGUAUUGCUUGCACGUACUUGUANGUUUAUUUGCAAGAUGUUGUCGGCGUGCACUUCUCCCCUAGUAGAACGUCGCGACCCGUUGGGUGUUGGUCUACGACCCGAGUGGGAGCCUUUAAUAUUUUNAUAAUAUUAAAGACCCUUGGUGUUUUCUGACCAGCUGCCCGGCGGUACUCGUACGGUAUUUAGCCGCANUUUAUUU